AACAAACACUCAAAUUAGAGCUUCAGAGCAAAUGACUACUGCCAUCAUCACUGCAACCUCGGGAGUUUCAAGGAAUUAACAACUGAAAAGCAGUCUGGCAUUCCCCUUGCUUUGACCCCUCAAUAUAAAUUCUCUGAUAUUUCUGUUCACUCAGAUUUUGUCUUAGCAGCCUCAAAGAUCAGAAUGGUCUCACUGCUGCCAAGGGCACUGUACAAAUUGAAAGUUUUUAAACCUCCAGCCUUCCAACCCCUCUCAAGAAGUGAGAGCCUGCACUGCCACUAAGCCAAAUCAGCUGUUUCAGAAAGAAGUGGACAAGCAAUGUUCAAAUCAACUGUACCAUCACCCCCACACAGUGAAUUCAAGUGUUUGUAAUAAAGAGCACUAAGAAACACAGACCUCAUUUAAAGUUAUUAUAAAAAAACAUGAACGCAAUGAGACUCUCUCCAUCAGGCCCAAAUCUUUUAUCUGAAACUAAAGCUUGACAUAAUAACAACACUUUAGACCUUGCACAUUAGGAAAUGCUCCCCAACCCCCCGCAUUUUGUCACACACCUGGAACAACCUGCUGCCUUCACGUACAAAAUGUGAGACUGCUCCAAACAAGAUGAGCUGCAAGUGAGGAAAGGGACAAAGAGGGCAAGAGGUACAACAGGUUCUCUGCACCUCCCUCAAAACUGCUAAGCUCAUUAGGGCUUGCAGAAAAGGAUAAAGCUCAAGCAAGGAGCCAUUCCUAGUCUUCUUUCGCCCACACGUAACACUUCCUCCAUCCAAAGAAAUCACUGAGACCCUCAGGAAGUGAAGCACCAGCUUUCCCUGCUUUCUAUAUUUAUAUUAUUGCAGCAGUGCCCUGCACCUUCUUAAGACACUACUGGAAAGCACCUGUACCACUGGUGAGGGGGGUUUUGCCUCCAGCACCUUGGUAAAACAACCAACAGAGAAAACAGCCACGGGAGCAUCUUUAACCAUGCAACCUGUGCCAGCUGGGAGAUCAGCCCAUGCCAAUGCACCACCCAGCAUAUUCCAACACACAGAACAAUUAAUUAUUAAUAAUUCAGGCCAUGGACCACUCCUGAAGGUCUGUGCAGCAAGCCCAGCUGAGGUACUGCAUGAACCACAGCCUGAGGUAGAGCCAAGUCCAACCUCACAGGGAGCACACAAUACAGGCUGUUACUCAAACCAAAGCUGGGUUUGUGUCACAGAGGGGUACUAAUGGCAAAUAAUGAAGUUAUUAUCUAAUAUUUAAAAACAGGAACAGAUUGCUACAUAUUCAGCAUGAGGAACCAGUUAAUUGCAAGCACAAUUCUAGCAGCUGGCUGGAAACGACAGACUUGUCCACAGAGCAAAAACCAACAUUUCUCAUUACUCCUGACAUCAGGGAAUAAACUCCCCCAGGAGCACAGAGCACGAGUUACCAAGGCAAAGGUGUUCUGCUGGGUGGAAGGGGUGGCUUCUCAGCCUUGUUCCCACCAGAAUCAAGGAACAUCUCCCUUGUUAGACCUCACAGAACAGAACUCCUGCUCUCCUCCACCUCCUGCUAUGUUCUCACAGAAGCCUUGGAAGGAAAGUGAUGCUGCUACUCAGUGCUUAGGUCAUGGAGAAGAAGUGGUUUGCCCAUAUGUUUCCUCGAGGAGAAAAGGCUGAAUAAAUGAAGACACAAUACCAGACAUCCCGGGUGGCUUCUAGGAUGAUGCAUGACCUGUGAGUCGACCAAGAUCCAACUAACCACUCAGGAAUAAAUAUCCACAAUGGCAGAUUGUGUUAGGGGAUGUGUUAGGGAAUUUAAGUGAAGUUUAAAUUUACAGACCCUACAGUAAAGCACCAUGAAGAACCAACCAUCUCCUCCCUCCUCAGCCCCAUAGAACUGGACUGGUUUUGCCCACCUGACACUAUUGGUGCAGCUUUCAGCCUCUCCAGAAACACACGCACCAACUACACUGAAAAGCUUGAAUUAAAUCUAGGCCUCAAAGCUUGAUCUUCUUGGUAAAUGAGGAAGUCAGUGAAAACAAUGUAUGCUGUAGGUUUGAACACAAGUAAUUCUGUCAGGAGAAGAUUCUAAGAGCCAGCAGAAAGUAGCUGGAGCUUUCCAUGAGUCCCUGCAGGCACAGAAGCUCAUUGCUGCACUGACUCUCCCAGCAGGAAAACAGCAGAGCAGCUUCUUGUACUUUCACCAUGGUGUCCAGGUGUGAUUAAACUCAAAAUCUGCUUUUAA